CCAGCCUGCCCAGUGACCUUGUUCAACGGCCGCGGUAUCCUAACCGUGCGAAGGUAGCGUAAUCACUUGUCUCCUAAAUAGAGACUAGUAUGAAAGGCAUCACGAGGGUUUAACUGUCUCCUGUAUCUAAUCAGUGAACCUAAUCUCCUCGUGAAAAAGCGAGGAUUCUCAUACAAGACGAGAAGACCCUAUGGAGCUUAAAACAUCUUACACGCACUUCUUAUUUAAAUUUCCCCCCCCACCCCACAAGUACGAUGAUUUCAUGUUUUUGGUUGGGGUGACCGCGGAGAAAACCACAUCCCCCGCAGUGAAAGGAGCUACUCCUUAAAGAAAAGUUACAACUUUAUAUAUUAAUAUAUUAACACCUAUUGACCCAAUAAAUUGAUUAAUGAACCAAGUUACCCUAGGGAUAACAGCGCAAUCCACUUCCAGAGCCCCUAUCGACAAGUGGGCUUACGACCUCGAUGUUGGAUCGGGAUAUCCUAGUGGUGCAGCCGCUACUAAGGGUUCGUUUGUUCAACGAUUAAAACCCC
rnacentral:rRNA from 1 species